GUCCAUUCAUCAGGACAGAUACAGACUCCACUCUGCAGCUCACCGCCAUUGAUACAGACCAAUGGAGGGAUUGUGGUGGAAGAGGUGGUGGGAAGAGCAGUAGUAGUAGCUGUAGUAGUAGUUGUAGUAGUAUUUGGAGAGGCAGUAUUAGGAGUUGGAUGAGUAUUUGGAUAUUCAAUGCUAGUAGCAGUAGUUAGAAAGGUAGAAGUCGUUGAAGGGGUAGUGGUAAAUCCUGUGUUACCAUCUGGUGGGUUAGUUGUAGUACCAUCUGGUGGGUUAGUUGUAGUACCGUCUGAAGGGUUAGUUGUAGUACCGUCUGGAAGGUUAGUUGUAGUACCGUCUGGAGGGUUAGUUGUAGUACCAUCUGUAAGGUUAGUUGUAGUAGCUUCUGGAGUGUAAAUUGUAGUACCAUCUGGAGGGUUAGCUGUAGAACCAACUGGAGGUUUAGUAGUAGUGACAUUCGGUGGGUAAGUAGUCGUUCCAUCUGGGGGGUGAGUAGUACUACCAUCUGCAGGACUAGUAGUAUUACCAUCUGGAGGGAUAGUUGUAGUACCAUCUGGAUGGUUAGUUGUAGUAUGAUCUGGAGGGUUAGUUGUAGUACCCUCUGGAGGUUUAGUAGUAGUGACAUUCGGUGGGUGAGUAGUCGUUUCAUCUGGGGGGUGAGUAGUACUACCAUCUGCAGGUCUAGUAGUAUUACCAUCUGGAGGGAUAGUUGUAGUACCAUCUGGAUGGUUAGUUGUAGUACCAUCUGGAUGGUUAGUUGUAGUACCCUCUGGAGGUUUAGUAGUAGUGACAUUCGGUGGGUAAGUAGUCGUUCCAUCUGGGGGGUGAGUAGUACUACCAUCUGCAGGACUAGUAGUAUUACCAUCUGGAGGGAUAGUUGUAGUACCAUCUGGAUGGUUAGUUGUAGUAUGAUCUGGAGGGUUAGUUGUAAUACGAUCUGGAGGGUUAGCUGUAGUAUCCUCUGCAGGGUUAGCUGUAGUAUCCUCUGGAGGGUUAGUUGUAGUAUCCUCUGGAGGGUUUGUUGUAGUACCAUCUGGAGGGCUAGUUGUAGUACCAUCUGUAAGGUUAGUUGUAGUAGCUUCUGGAGUGUAAAUUGUAGUAGCUUCUGGAGUGUAAAUUGUAGUAGCAUCUGAAGGGUUAGUUGUAGUAGCAUAUGGAGGGAUAGUUGUAGUAGUAUCUGGAGGAUUUGUUGUAUUACCAGCUGGAGGUUCAGUUGUAGUCUCAUCUGGAAGUUUUGUGGUAGUAUGAGCUGGUGGGUCAGUGGAAAUAUCAUUUGGAAGCUUAGUAGUAUUACCAGCUGCAAGUUCAGUAGUAGUAGCAUCUGGAGGGUUAGUUGUAUUACCCUCUGGAGUGUUAGUUGUAGCAUCUGGAAGGUUAGUUGUAGGACCAUCUGGAAGGUUAGUUGUAGGACCAUCUGGAAGGUUAGUUGUAGUAACAUCUGGAAGGUUAGUUGUAGUAGCAUCUGGAGGGUUAGUUGUAGUACCAUCUGGAGGGUUAGUUGUAGUACCAUCUGGAGGGUUAAUUGUAGUACAAUCUGGAAGGUUAGUUGUAGUACCAUCUAGAGGGUAAGUUGUAGUAGCAUCUAGAGGGUUAAUAGUAGUAACAUCCCCAGGGAAGGGAGUGCCUUCAAGGGCUUUAUCACUGAUGAGGGGGUGAGUAGCAUUGAAGAUAGUAGUAGCAUAAUUAGUAUUAACAGUUGUCUGUAUAGUCAUGGUAGUGGUUUUGUCAUUCUUAGGGGUAUUCAGUUCAGUGGACGUUGGAAUGGCAGAAAGUCUGGUGAGA
ensembl:lncRNA